AAAUAAAAUAUCUGACUUUGGUUAUAUUUUUCUGUCGGUGAAAGCGAAGAGUCUUUCUCUUUCUUCUUCGAUGUUCUUGAGGAAUCUUAGAGAAGGAAAAUCAUUGAAAUCCGUUCAACAAAAUCUCAUCAGUUCUUACAAAUCGUGAUGUUAGGGAUCAAAAAAGAGGUUGCGCAAGAUCAACUUCUAAUUUCGCAGAUCUACACUAUCUGUGGCUGCAGUUUUUGAGGUUUGUGUACCUGAGGACCUACAGAAACUUAAAAUUGAAGAUGAGCAGAUUGAAGGUCUACUGGCGGCUCUCCAACGAAGUGAGAAGACGAUGUUUGCUGUUUCAAGUAAUCCUUCUGAAUCAAAACUAUACCUUGAGGGGCCAGUUCAUGCUGAUGUUGCUGUUCCAAGAGGAAAGACUUGUUACCUCUCCGAGUUAAGAACAGGAACAUAAGUAAUCGUUGUUAAUCAGAGCACGCAAUAGAGAAGGGCCGCUUUUCCUCGUGGAUGCUAAGUUAAUAUUGUUUCAAGUUAGAGUGGAAUGGUUUGGAUGUAUACAAAGAAGAUCUGAAGCAAUAAAUACAUUAUCUGCAGUGUUUCUAAAGAGCAAUAGGGCAAGGUCUACUAUAUAGAAGAUAAGUUAUUUAAAACAAAUGUGUCUUCUUCUACGUUAAUAAGUUAGUUUCAGUUUUAAUAUAUCAUGGAUACUUUGUUAAAAUCUGUUACAAAUUUUUAUUUGACAGGGUCCAUACAAUUUGAAGCUCAAAUCUAAUGGAAUUGAGCUUAUUACAAAUGAAACACAUUGGAGAGAGACAUAACGUUAUGCUUCCCGUAAGCAAUUUGAUACGCAGGGUAUUUUGGUACGCAGGGUAAAGGGAGCAUAUAAGAAGGUCCGACGUCGACUCAAAUUAAUAUUUCAGAUACCUUAAAGUUUUCAAUUACACGCCACUCCCCCAACGGAAGGUUACGUUGGGUACGAAACAUGAGUGCUCUGGGACAUGAUGCAUGGAUCUUAACACCCUGUAAACAAUUUAAAAAUUAUUAGAACUUAAAGCAUAUAGAGCAGAUUAUAUAAUGGAUCUAAGGAAGAAGGUAUGCAAAGUUAAAUAUAGAGCAUCUAAAACAGUCUCAGCAGAACUUACAGUCUGAUCAGCUAACACCAGUUCCAGUGUUUCAUCAGCAUAUGGAGGGGUUUGUCUCCACGAGUGAAUCACUUUCACUUGCGUACGCCAUUUUUUGGACCGAGGUUUCAAGCCGUUGAUCAAAACCAAACUCUGGUUUGAAGACAUAAUUAAAUUGGGUGCGAUGAAAAAAUUAGCUUGGAACGUUUGAGGUGAUAUUGAAAAGGUACAUAAUUGUUCGUGUGUGGUUCUGUAACACAAAAAGUUCUGUAACACAGUUAUUUAUAUGCUUACUAUUACAUCUAUGUUAUUAUUGUGGUUCGCCUAGAUGGCUAAAAUAUUGUUUUGUAAUGCAAGAUCCAUACGGAACCAUUUGGGUUAUUUUUUAAUGAAAGCUUUCAAUGGGUA